rnacentral:rRNA from 1 species
GAUGAACGCUAGCUACAGGCUUAACACAUGCAAGUCGAGGGGUAACGAGAGGGAAGCUUUCUUUCCUUGUCGACGACCGGCGCACGGGUGAGUAACGCGUAUCCAACCUGCCCCCAACUAGGGAAUAACCUUGCGAAAGUAAGACUAAUACCCUAUAAUUUCCUCAGAUGUCAUCUGACGAGGAAUAAAGAUUUAUCGGUUGUGGAUGGGGAUGCGUCUGAUUAGCUUGUUGGCGGGGUAACGGCCCACCAAGGCAACGAUCAGUAGGGGUUCUGAGAGGAAGGGCCCCCACAUUGGAACUGAGACACGGUCCGAACUCCUACGGGAGGCAGCAGUGAGGAAUAUUGGUCAAUGGGCGGAAGCCUGAACCAGCCAAGUAGCGUGCAGGAUGACGGCCCUAUGGGUUGUAAACUGCUUUUAUACAGGAAUAAAGUUAGCCACGUGUGGUUAUUUGUAGGUACUGUAUGAAUAAGGACCGGCUAAUUCCGUGCCAGCAGCCGCGGUAA